rfam:Mustela putorius furo unplaced genomic scaffold scaffold00126, whole genome shotgun sequence.
GUCUACGGCCAUACCACCCUGAACACGCCCGAUCUCGUCUGAUCUCGGAAGCUAAGCAGGGUCGGGCCUGGUUAGUACUUGGAUGGAAGAGUGCCUGGCACAUAGCGU